rnacentral:lncRNA from 7 species
CUUCCAUGGUGCCCACUGCCCAGGACCGGCACUCGUGAGGCACCGUACCGGUACCAACGGCUACCCGUCACAUGAUCUGGAUCUCGCAUCCGUUCUGUCGCUGACCAGCGACGUGGCAACACAUUCACCGCAGCAGUCAUCAGUACAAUCUACAGGUAUCGAUACUGUGCAUGUCGACCACUCCGGGACCAGGAUGAAGAGAGAACGGCAUACAUACCUCCAAAGAAUUUUAGCUAGCUAAAAUCAUGUUCCACAAAAUAGCUCCAAUUCACCAAUGCAGCUUUGCCAGCAGCACUACUAUGGAUCUCAAUCGAACAACAGUAGAUCUCUUUCAGGACACGCCCUGUCCUGUUGCCUGCACGGUUGGACCACGGAGAAAUGUCGCGUUCAGAGUUGCAGGCACGGGUACCCGUACAGGCGUGACCAGGACAGGAACGAUCGGUCAAUUCCCGAACCGAUGCCGACGCUCAAGACACCGAGGAAUGGUCAAAAUCUGAAAAGGCACCACUCGCACCUGCCUCUGCCUCCUGCCUAUUCCAAAUUCCAAUAGUUUGCACCCAGCUGUCUGCAGCUUGACGAGCGAACGCGACAGGCAGCGGCAGGCAGGUCCGCAGGUGCCUUCCAGCCAGCGCGCACUCGGCCGCCACUCCACGACGCGGCUCCAAGUCCUCGGGCCACUGCCCACU